UGGUCCCUACGGGGCGCAGCAGUAGGGAAUCUUCCACAAUGGACGAAAGUCUGAUGGAGCAACGCCGCGUGAGUGAAGAAGGGUUUCGGCAUGUAAAGCCCUAUCAGCAGGGAAGAAAAUGACGGUACCUGACUAAGAAGCCCCGGCUAAAUACGUGCCAGCAGCCGCGGUAAUACGUAUGGGGCAAGCGUUAUCCGGAUUUACUGGGUGUAAAGGGAGCGUAGGCGGCCUGGCAAGCCUGAUGUGACAUACCGGGGCCCACCCCCGGGGCUGCAUUGGGAACUGCCAGGCUGGAGUGCCGGAGG
rnacentral:rRNA from 1 species